AGAGUUUGAUUAUGGCUCAGAGCGAACGCUGGCGGCGUACUUAACACAUGCAAGUCGAACGGGGAUCAUCGGUGUAGCAAUACAUCGGCGGUCCUAGUGGCGUACGGGUGAGUAACACGUGGGCAACCUGCCCUCGAGCUCGGGAUAACCUUUCGAAAGGAAGGCUAAUACCGGAUACGUUCCUCGGGUCGCGAGAUCUGGGGAGGAGAGGUGGCGCAAGCUACCGCUCUUGGAGGGGCUCGCGGCCUAUCAGCUAGUUGGUGAGGUAACGGCUCACCAAGGCUAUGACGGGUAGCUGGUCUGAGAGGACGACCAGUCACACGGGAACUGAGACACGGUCCCGACUCCUACGGGAGGCAGCAGUGGGGAAUUUUCCGCAAUGGGCGAAAGCCUGACGGAGUGACUCCGCGUGGGGGACGAAGGCCUUCGGGUCGUAAACCCCUGUCAGAGGGAAAGAAGGGUGUCGUCGCUAAUACCGCCGGCAUCUGACGGUUCCUUCAGAGGAAGCCCCGGYCAAACUCUGUUGYCA
rnacentral:rRNA from 1 species